AGCGAACGCUGGCGGCAGGCCUAACACAUGCAAGUCGAACGAACUCUUCGGAGUUAGUGGCGGACGGGUGAGUAACACGUGGGAACGUGCCUUUUGGUUCGGAAUAACUCAGGGAAACUUGUGCUAAUACCGAAUGUGCCCUUCGGGGGAAAGAUUUAUCGCCAUUAGAGCGGCCCGCGUCUGAUUAGCUAGUUGGUGAGGUAACGGCUCACCAAGGCGACGAUCAGUAGCUGGUCUGAGAGGAUGACCAGCCACACUGGGACUGAGACACGGCCCAGACGCCAAGGGGAGGCAGGGGGGGGGAAUCUUGGGAAAGGGGCAAAAGCCAGAAGCAGCAAGGCCGGGAGAAUGAUGAAGGGGUUAGGAUUUGAAAAUUUUUUCCCCGGGGAGGAAAAGAAGGGAACCGGGAAAAAAAGCCCGGGUAAAUUUGGG
rnacentral:rRNA from 1 species